GAACAGAAUUAAAAUCAGGGGUAUAAAUACCCCCUCCCACCAAUGGUCCCUUAGUCUUUUUUUUCCUGUCCUAUCCCUAUAGGACUCCAGUCAUUGUAGACUGUGAGCAUACUCUUUUUUCUCUUUGGCUUACCUGAGGGUUUUUACCUUUGGCCUCAAGGGAGUUCAGCCUCUCUUCCUUGGGAAGUCUCCAGUACGUGGCCCUGCGCAAAGGAUAUCCCCCUGGAGAUGCUCCUUUAGUGACCGGGAGCCACUUGCAGUGACCCUAGGGGUAGCAAGCAAAAUAUUGCCAGUAAGGAACAUUCCCUGCAGUAACCAAGUGGUAGCAGGAAGUGGCAGAAGAACCUCAUCUACAGAAGAUUCUUCCUACCUCUACCUGGCAGGCACAGUAAGUUUUAAUGCAUUUAUUGUGCAUUAUUUUACUUAUGGCUGUCAGGUUUUCCCCCUUCCACCUCUUUUCUAUGUGCCACAGGAUUACAUUUUUUUUUUUUCCUUUUUCUUUCCCUUCUCUCUCCCCUUUUCCCCUUUAAUUUUGAUUUUACCGGGCUUGCCGCCAUUUUGUCGGCGUCCUCCUGGUGCUCUGCGCCUGCGCGGACUGUGGGCGCAUCAUUCCCGGUCCCCGCGCAUCUUCCACUUACUACAGAAUCUGGGACGUUUUCUCCUACUGGGCUGCAUCCAACCACAGGGAUAUUCAGUAUAUCUCCACCAAGGAAAUCCUUGAAUUUCUACAAUCCGGUCUUGAUAAGGGUCUAAGCUACAAUACCCUGAAGGUACAUAUUUCAGCUCUUUCGGCCCUUACGGACCAAAGAUGGGCCUUAAACUCAGACGUGAUCAGAUUUAUGGCAGCAGUUUUGAAAAUCAAGCCUCCUAUCAAGCCCUUCGC